rnacentral:lncRNA from 1 species
CUACAAUAUUUUCUAUUAACACAACAUUAUUCAUUAUAGAGUUAGGUUAUUAUAUUUUUAUAGAAAUAAUUGCCUACAUACCUCUCAAAACUUUUAAAAUAUCUUAUUUAUUUUUAUUUUUUUCUUUUCAAUAUAUCCUGCAUAUGAUCCUCUAUAGUUACCACCCAUUAAAUUAACUUAGAUUAAACGUGAGUUAAAUAUCUAUCACAGUUAAAAAAAAACUAAAAUACCACUUUUAUCCUUAACUUAAGGGCAAAUAAAAAAUAUUGGUGAUGGUAGAAUGGUAUAUUUGAAAAGGCCAAAAAGCAAAAUACUUUUUAUGCCCUUAACUUAGGCUUCGUUUGGGAUUGCGCGGAGCUUGCGUUAUGUGCGGUAAGAAAGUACGUUGAAAAAUGCUCUAUUAGUUUCUGUACGUAAUAUUAUAUUCCGCAUAUCGCGAUGAGUCCGUUACAAUAUAUUUUCUACGGUCCCACCGGAGAACGCAGAAGCAUAUCUCUAUAUGCUUUUUCCUCAAUUUCAUUUUAUCUAAUAGCAUUAGAUAUGCCUCGAUACCAAACUAAUCCUUAAGGGCAGGAGUAUAUUUGAAAGGGUAAAAUAGUAAUUUCAUAGAGAUAACAGAGUUCACUGUAUGAUAGGUUGGAAUGUAAAAAUGAUAUUUUCAAUAUUAGCCUUUUAAGAGGGAUAAAUCAGAAAGUUAGAGUUUCAUAAGUAUAGUUUUCUUUAUAAAUUUUCGAUUGUUAGAUCUACCUGUUUGACCAUUUCCAUCUAUUAAAUCAUACUAUUCAAUCAACCACCCACUUAACCCUGUGAGACUGCUAUCAUCCUAACCGCACAUUAUUUCAUCCAACGACCAAAAAAUUAUAAGUACAAACAGAUCUAUACUCAUAAAGGUAUAGUAGCUUUACUCUUUAUCUAUUAACAGCAAAUCAUAUCUUUUCUUUUGAAUAAAAAGUAUAAUAAAAAUAUUUUUUAUUAAUCAUGAUGGGACAGGUGAUCCAAAAAGACCAAUCUGAUUGAUUAGUGACGUCACAUCCCCUUGUUGGGAGCCAUUGAUUUGUUAUCAUGCGAUUAUUUUGGCCGCAAUACUAACCGUAAUACUUGAAGGUAUUGUUUAAUUCAGGAAUAAGCAUAAAUUGCUUAUUCUUGAGAUACCUGCACUUUCAAAAAUAAGAAACAAAACUAUUUUAGUGUUUGGAUGGUUAAAUUAGAACAGAGAGAAUAAGAAUAAUUAUAAUUUUAAUUAAAUUUUUUAUCUAAUUAAUUAGUUCGAUUAUUAGUUAAAUUAAUUUAAUUAGUCAAACUAUUAAUUAGUUUAUAAAUAUUAAUUAUUAGAUAAACACAUUAAAUAAUUAGUUUUUAAUGAGCUAAUUAACCAUAACUAAUAAAUUAAUUAAUUACUUAACUAUGUAAGUAAUAGUUAAUAACUUAAAUAUAUUAGUUAGAUUAAUUAAUAGGUUAAUUCA